rnacentral:rRNA from 1 species
GUAGCCUACGGGAGGCAGCAGUGAGGCCUCUUGGUCCCUGUUCGGGCGCCUGAACCAGCCAAGUCGCGUGAGGGAAGACGGUCCUAUGGAUUGUAAACCUCUUUAGGCGGGGAGCAAUGCCGGGCACGUGUGCCCGGAGGGAGAGUACCCGCAGAAUAAGCAUCGGCUAACUCCGUGCCAGCAGCCGCGGUAAUACGGAGGAUGCGAGCGUUAUCCGGAUUUAUUGGGUUUAAAGGGUGCGUAGGCGGAUUUUUAAGUAAGCGGUAAAAUGUCCGGGCUCAACCCGGGCCGGCCGUUGAAACUGG